UGGGUUGUGACUCAGUGGCAGAGUACAUGCCUUGCACGUAUGAGGCACUGGGUUUGAUCCUCAGCACCACAU
rnacentral:tRNA from 1 species